UAAAGGAAGGAGAACCUUUUUUCCCCUUCCCCACCAUGGAAAGCUUUCUCUCCCUCUCUUUGCUUCUCUUGUAGGGUAACCGACCCCCCUCUUUGUGAUGGGCUGAGGAGUCCGGCUGCCAAGUGGCCCUUGCUGUCUGGACAUGCCAUUGGUGUCAGACAUAGUUGGAAUUCUGCACCACUGUGUUGAUUCAGCAGCAGUGCACGGCCGGCCAGCCAUCCUCUGGGUGAACGUGUGUACUGGGAUCUACAUUCAUGAAGGAUACAGUCUUACAGAUCUUUGCCACGCCUGCCACUCAAGUCGAAGGAUAAACCCAAAGCUUAAGCAAAAUUCCAUGGAACACCCACCUGCUUCCUCCACACUAGGGUGACCAGACAGCAAGUGUGAAAAAUCGGGACAGGGGGUGGAGUGUA